rnacentral:lncRNA from 1 species
ACCAGAGCAAUAAUACAGAAAAGACCAUAAUAACUGUCCACUAUCCAUUCUUGCUCCCAGCUUUCUGCUAAUCCCUGAGCAGGCCACUGUAUCUGGAAUGAAUCUGAGUCAUUUGUCUGACUUGGUGCUUGGCAUAAAAGGGAAGCUGAGCGUGUAAAUAUCAGUGCUACUGAAUGGAUUUUCUAAGGCUGCUCUGGCUUUUUUCUGUCACACAUGGAAAGUGAAUAAAUAACUUGUGUUCUGUUGUGUUUUUUGCUGAGAAAAAAACUCAUUUCCAACUAAAGUUACAGUAUUAGUGUCUCCACAGUACAGUCUUACUCAAAGGAGGGAGGGAAAUUGAUUUCCCCUUCGCUUUUUGUACCAAUGCAUUUAAAUGGAUGUAUGAACUCAUAAAAUGGCUCAUUUUAUCAUUUUAAGGUUGCAAUAAAAGCAAAACAAAAGGACUGAUCAGGAAUGGGAGGCCCCAGAUGUGCAAUCAAAAAAGAAAGCAGCCAGAUGGCAAGCCUGGCUUUGACAGGGAUGCAAAAUGCAGGACAUAGAAGAAAUUAGCCUCAAACCAACUACAAAACAAUCUCAGAUAAGCACUGAGAACAAACUAAAAAAUAUAGAGCCUAAAGAAAAUACAAAGCCUCCAAUUAGCGACAAACCAUCAGGUUGGGUUACCUGCCUAGGCUCUGCAUGAAGCUUCACAGUCAUCCUGCCUAAGAAUACCAUUUCCUAAGAAGCCCUGAUUUGCUUUCCAGUCAAGAACCAAGGAUGAGGAUGCAGGACAUAUGGCCAAAACCAGUGCAAUAGAACACAAGCAAAGAAAGUGGCAAGAAACUACAGAAACUGGGCCAGUAGGGGAUGCCAUUCAAAAGCUAUGAUGUUUCUGUGCCAAUGCAUAGAGUACAGGAAAUAAGCAAGGGGAACGAGAAAUUCUACCACUGAAAGAGAAAUAUGGCAUCAUAAGCAUUACUGAAACCUGGUGAAAUGAUACACAUGAUUGGACUACAGCACUGGAAGGCUAUAACUUAUUUUAGAGGAAUAAGUCCAGCAUCAAGGGAGAUGGCAUUGCACUAUAUAUAAGGAAAAUAUAUGCCUCCACAGAAAUCCAUUUUUCAGGCCAUACAA